UACAGAGGUCUCAAGCGUUGUUCGGAUUCAUUGGGCGUAAAGGGUGCGUAGGUGGCGUGGUAAGUCGGGUGUGAAAUUUCGGAGCUUAACUCCGAAACUGCAUUCGAUACUGCUGUGCUUGAGGACUGGAGAGGAGACUGGAAUUUACGGUGUAGCGGUGAAAUGCGUAGAUAUCGUAAGGAAGACCAGUGGCGAAGGCGGGUCUCUGGACAGUUCCUGACGCUGAGGCACGAAGGCCAGGGGAGCAAACGGG
rnacentral:rRNA from 1 species